AACGCGAAGAACCUUACCUGGGUUUGACAUGCACAGGACGCUGGUAGAGAUAUCAGUUCCCUUGUGGUCUGUGUGCAGGUGGUGCAUGGCUGUCGUCAGCUCGUGUCGUGAGAUGUUGGGUUAAGUCCCGCAACGAGCGCAACCCUUGUCUUCUGUUGCCAUCAGGUUAUGCUGGGCACUCUGGAGAGACUGCCGGUGAUAAACCGGAGGAAGGUGGGGAUGACGUCAAGUCAGCAUGGCCUUUAUGUCUGGGGCUACACACGUGCUACAAUGGCCGGCACAAACCGUCGCGAGCCCGCGAGGGGGAGCUAAUCGGAGAAAGUCGGUCUCAGUUCGGAUCGUAGGCUGCAACUCGCCUGCGUGAAGUUGGAAUCGCUAGUAAUCGCGGAUCAGCACGCCGCGGUGAAUACGUUCCCGGGCCUUGUACACACCGCGCAUA
rnacentral:rRNA from 1 species